AUCCGUUUUGGAGGCAUUGCCUGCCCAGUGACAACUGUUUAACGGCCGCGGUAUCCUGACCGUGCAAAGGUAGCAUAAUCAUUUGUUCUCUAAAUAAGGACUUGUAUGAAUGGCCGCACGAGGGUUUUACUGUCUCUUACUUCCAAUCAGUGAAAUUGACCUUCCCGUGAAGAGGCGGGAAUGCACAAAUAAGACGAGAAGACCCUAUGGAGCUUUAACUAACCAACCCAAAGAGAAUAGAUUUAACCAUUAAGGAAUAACAACAAUCUCCAUGAGUUGGUAGUUUCGGUUGGGGUGACCUCGGAGAAUAAAAAAUCCUCCGAGCGAUUUUAAAGACUAGACCCACAAGUCAAAUCACUCUAUCGCUCAUUGAUCCAAAAACUUGAUCAACGGAACAAGUUACCCUAGGGAUAACAGCGCAAUCCUAUUCAAGAGUCCAUAUCGACAAUAGGGUUUACGACCUCGAUGUUGGAUCAGGACAUCCUGAUGGUGCAACCGCUAUCAAAGGUUCGUUUGUUCAACGAUUAAAGUCCUACGUGAUCUGAGUUCAGACCGGA
rnacentral:rRNA from 1 species